GUCAUUGCCUUGUCGUGCAGGGGCAAUCGCCACUUCUACGUCCUGACAUGCCGGUGUCUGUGAUGCAGACUGGAUCAUUUUAUAGAAAUUUUGGAGAAAAAUCUACUCACAGACCACACAACUCAAGAAGUGGCUAUGAAUUAUUACUGGCUCUUGGAGUUUAUGUCAGGAUAUCUAGGGCUAUCACAAUCCUUCCCUCCUUUGCCCCAACAUGGAUGCCAACAGACUGAAUUGACUCAGACAAAGUCCCCGGACAAAAAUUGAAGGGGAAAAUACCCAAAGCUUUAGUUGAAGAAUGGCAGAAGGCUUGGAAAAAAAUCUGAAAAAGCAAUGAAGAUGAAAAUGGAAACUCUGUGAAAAUUAAUGUAGUGUAGAAUUGGCGAACAUACCACCUAUUUCUUUAAACAAAUAGAAGAAAGAACCCGCUUAUGAGGUGCACCCAAAUAAUUCACAGGUGGUGAAACUAUUAGAGUCCUGCAAUUUCUUGCCUCAGAAGUGGAAUAAAUC